rnacentral:rRNA from 1 species
AGUGAACGCUGGCGGUAGGCCUAACACAUGCAAGUCGAACGGCAGCACAGAGGAGCUUGCUCCUUGGGUGGCGAGUGGCGGACGGGUGAGGAAUACAUCGGAAUCUACUCUGUCGUGGGGGAUAACGUAGGGAAACUUACGCUAAUACCGUAUACGACCUACGGGUGAAAGCAGGGGACCUUCGGGCCUUGUGCGAUUGAAUGAGCCGAUGUCGGAUUAGCUAGUUGGCGGGGUAAAGGCCCACCAAGGCGACGAUCCGUAGCUGGUCUGGGAGCAUGAUGAGCCACACUGGGACAUAGACACGGUCCAGACUCCUACGGGAGGCAGCAGUGGGGAAUAUUGGACAAUGGGCGCAAGCCAGAUCCAGCCAUACCGCGUGGGUGAAGAAGGCCUUCGGGUUGUAAAGCCCUUUUGUUGGGAAAGAAAUCCAGCUGGCUAAUACCCGGUUGGGAUGACGGUACCCAAAGAGUAAGCACCGGCUAACUUCGUGCCAGCCGCCGCCGUAA